CGGCGGUGUAGUGCUACGCGGCCAGUAUGGGUCGUCCUCGCCCCAGACGAGACGGUCGGCCUCACCUGAGACACGACUGGUAAGGACCACCAGUCCCAUCCUGUGGUAGGUGGGAGUGACGAGCGUGACAGCGUUCCUCCACAGAGUGGCGGGUCUCCUGUGGGUGAGGAGGCUUCGGGUCGGUGGAGGGAGUGACUUAUGGAGUCGAGGCUGGGACGUUCAGGGUAACGCUGAGGAAGAAUUUGAGACCAACUUUCAGAGUGUGUGUGAAUUGGUAAUGAUGGUAAUGAGAGGUGUACCGUAAGUGUCCAGUUAACAUGGGUACUUUGGGUUAUGUGUUUAGUGUGCUCUGUAUUCUAGUUUGGGGCAUUUUGGUUUUCAUUUCCAUUUUCCUUAAGUGAAUACAAGAUAGAACUAAUGUCCUCAAACUGGGUAAUGCUCCUGUACUGUGUGAUGGGUCUGUUCCCUUUAUCGUGUACAUUGUUUAAAAUUCCAUUUAAUUUUUUGUCUCCCCAGGUAUUGUCUCUGUGUAAAACAAUGUCACUGAUUUUGUCUGUCAGUGUUAGUGCUGCUUGUUGUAUUUAGGUUAAAUGUUCCCGUUCUAUUGUAAUCUAUGUCCUAAAAUGGUAGAGAUUAAAUUUAUAUAUUAAAAAUACAAAUGUGUUGCAUAGUUUUUUUUCUUUUGUUUGAAGCUCAGCCGUGAGUAUUGUAAUUACGUAUACUGUAUCAUAAGUACUUUGUGUUGAGUUUCAUGUUAAUGUAUUAUGGUUUGUUCUUACAUUGACUUGUUUCUUCAGGUUUUACUUGUUUUUAUACUUUUGUAAUACAUUUAAUGUCCUUUAUUAUUUUGCGGGCACUGGCGUGUCUAGUACCUGUAGUGUAUUGUUUGCGUACAUGUGUGUUGUUUGCGCUUCUUGCUCCUCAGAGUUUGCCGUAGAGUCAUCUAUAUGUAAGGAUUGAAUGUUUCGCUUAAUUUAUUUUAAUUGUACAUGUCUUGUGCUUCUAUCAUUAAACAAAUUAAAAC